UCAUUUAGAACUGGGAGACUAGAGUUUUGGAAGGGGGAGUGGAAUUCCAGGUGUAGCGGUGAAAUGCGUAGAGAUCUGGAGGAACAUCAAUGGCGAAGGCCACUCCCUGGCCAAAGACUGACGCUCAUGUGCGAAAGUGUGGGUAGCGAACAGGAUUAGAUACCCUGGUAGUCCACACCGUAAACGCUGUCUACUAGCUGUUUGUGAAUUUAAUUCGUGAGUAGCGAAGCUAACGCGAUAAGUAGACCGCCUGGGGAGUACGGCCGCAAGGUUAAAACUCAAAUGAAUUGACGGGGGCCCGCACAAGCGGUGGAGCAUGUGGUUUAAUUCGAUGCAACGCGAAGAACUUUACAUACUCUUGACAUACUAGAAACUUUUCAAAGAUGAAUUGCUGCCUUCGGGAAUCUAGAUACAGGCGCCGCAUGGCUGUCGUCAGCUCGUGUCGUGGGAUGUUGGGUUAAGUCCCGCA
rnacentral:rRNA from 1 species